GGGGUUGUGGCUCAGUGGCAGAGCGCUUGCCUAGCAUGUGUGAGGCACUGCAUUCGAUUCUCAGCACCA
rnacentral:tRNA from 1 species